GACGAACGCUGGCGGCGUGCCUAAUACAUGCAAGUCGAACGCAGUGGGGACGGGUGCGUAACACGUGGGUAACCUCCCAUCAGAGGGGAUAACACUUGGAAACAGGUGCUAAACCGAUACUGAUGGAUCGACCCGCGGUGCAUUAGCUAGUUGGUGGGGUAAAGGCUCACCUAGUCCACGAUGCAUAGCCGUGCUGAGAGGAUGACCAGCCACACUGGGACGUAGACACGGUCCAGACUCCUACGGGAGGCAGCAGUGGGGAAUAUUGCACAAUGGGCGCAAGCCUGAUGCAGCCAUGCCGCGUGUGUGAAGAAGGCCUUCGGGUUGUAAAGUACUUUCAGUCGGGAGGCGUUACCGGCAGAAGAAGCACCGGCUAACUUCGUGCCAGCAGCCGCGGUAAUAC
rnacentral:rRNA from 1 species